rnacentral:RNase_P_RNA from 1 species
ACACUGGCUCAGACGAUCGCUGUAGUGUUCCUCGGAAUACUGCAGAGGAAAGUCCGAACACAGGCACUACGCAAGUGGUGCAGAAAGGUAGCGGGUAAUGCCCGUCCGCAGCGAUGCGCGAGGUGCGAACAGUGACGCCGGGAGCGAAAGCAAACGGCAUCUCUUUGAGAUGAACUUUGUGGGCGACCACAAAGAUGAAACGGCUAAAUCCUUACCCCUGUGCAAGGCCGUGCCCACCACUUGCUGGUGUGGAGCGCCGCUCGAGGUAGUUGGUAACAACUAUCCCAGAUAGAUGAUCGUCCGCAGGUUUUCCUGCGACAGAAUUCGGCUUAUCGAGCCAGUCAAAAA